rnacentral:rRNA from 1 species
GUAGGUGGCAAGCGUUGUCCGGAAUUAUUGGGCGUAAAGCGCGCGCAGGCGGUUCUUUAAGUCUGAUGUGAAAGCCCACGGCUCAACCGUGGAGGGUCAUUGGAAACUGGAGAACUUGAGUACAGAAGAGGAAAGCGGAAUUCCACGUGUAGCGGUGAAAUGCGUAGAGAUGUGGAGGAACACCAGUGGCGAAGGCGGCUUUCUGGUCUGUAACUGACGCUGAGGCGCGAGAGCGUGGGGGAGCAAACAGGAUUAGAUACCCUGGUAGUCCACGCCGUAAACGAUGAGUGCUAAGUGUUAGGGGGUUUCCGCCCCUUAGUGCUGCAGCUAACGCAUUAAGCACUCCGCCUGGGAGUACGACCGCAAGGUUG